UCCCCAGUAGUCCAGUGGUUAAGACUCUGAGCUUCCACCACAGAGGGCUUGGGUUCAAUCCCUAGCUAGGGAU
rnacentral:tRNA from 1 species